rnacentral:lncRNA from 10 species
GGCGAGGUCAUGUUUACUCCCCAUUUGCAUUGUUUCUAACGAGUUUCGCUGGCAGAGCCCACCUUGCUGACCCAGGUGCAGCAGCAGAGCUUGACAAUGCUCGGGCUUCCGAUGGAUCCCGCGUGUGAGGCCCUGCGCUUCCAGACAAAGGCGGUGGAUGAUGGCAGCUCGCCUCCAAACACCCUGCUUAACUUUUCCUCUUUGCAAGAAUGUGUGUGGGAAGGUUGGUGGUGAGAAGAAAGCAAUCAAGAGUUAGCCCCCUUGCGGUAGUUUGCUGAGAAUGAUGGUUUCCAGCUUCCACAAUGAGAACACAUGGACACAGGAAGAGGAACAUCACACACCGGGGCCUGUUGUGGGGUGGGGGGAGGGGGGAGGGAUAGCAUUAGGAGAUAUACCUAAUGUAAAGGACGAGUUAAUGGGUGCAGCACACCAACGUCGCACAUGUAUGCAUAUGUAACAAACCUGCACGUUGUGCACAUGUACCCUAAAACUUAAAGUAUAAUAAAAAAAAGAAACAAAAAAAAGAAAAAA